UACGGAGGGUGCAAGCGUUAUCCGGAUUCACUGGGUUUAAAGGGUGCGUAGGUGGGCUGGUAAGUCAGUGGUGAAAUCUCCAGGCUUAACUUGGAAACUGCCAUUGAUACUAUCAGUCUUGAAUACCGUGGAGGUCAGCGGAAUAUGUCAUGUAGCGGUGAAAUGCUUAGAUAUGACAUAGAACACCAAUUGCGAAGGCAGCUGGCUACACGAAUAUUGACACUGA
rnacentral:rRNA from 1 species